GCCUGUCUGGCCCCCAGACGAACCUCUCUCUCUCUCUCUCUCUCUCGCUCCUAUAUAAACACUCAUAGCGUCUAUACAGGAGCCGGACACUCCCUCUGAGACACAACUGCUAUAAGGUUCCUCUCACGCUCUGAACGGAGGCGAUCCAGAGACAGAAAGCAGUCAGAUCACCCAGGAAGCCCAGUCACUCAGACGCUAGCAGAAGGAGGGGCCAGCUGCAGUGACCACGGACUACAUGACAAAACAUGAGGUGGCCUUGGAAGACACACACACACACACUUUGCAUGUUAAACAGACAAGUGCUAUAUGUUUCUUUCUUCAGUGGAACCCAAAAUAAGAUGUUCAUGCUGCCUGUUAUGCUCCAAAAAGCACCAUUAAAGUCAACAUAGGCCCAUUGUGAACACAUUCCUAUAGCAACAUUUUUGCAAAACUCCAAAAUACAUGCUAUUCAACUGCAGUUUAGUGCUGAAAUUGAUUACAGGUUGAAUAUUGAUUAAUAAGGACUUACUUUCACACAUUUCUUUCCACAAUGCUGUGUUAUGACCUCAGUCCACUUUUACCAUAGUGCAUGAUUUGUCAAUUUUGACAUUUGCAUCACAUAACCAGCUCCAUAAAGUAUUGAUUUUCUAAAGUAACUUUGCUUGGGAGCUCACCUAAUACAGUGAUGUGUGCUGUGCUCGGUCCGGUGAUACACAAGUAAUUAACUCGAUAAGCAGUUGAAAAACUUGUAGAAGCCAGCAAAAACUGCAUGGUUGCUUGAGCAACUGCAUUUUUAACUCACGUUUGUUAACAUUUCAGGGUAUGUUCAGAGCAGGAUUUAGUUCAUUAAGAAACGCAACCUUUUAGAGCCACUCUCUGAACAUUUUAUUUCCAAACUGUUGCGAUACCCGCAACAACUAUCACAAUAAAACAUUGCCAGAUUCACAUUCACCUGUUUCUGAUAAUCUUAAGAAGCUUUUAGUGCCAUUCACUGGAUAUUUCACUUUGAACGUGCCGCAAAAUGUGCAAAAAGUUGGAUAAUUUUGCAGAAAUGUUGUCACUUUGGUUUAGCUUGCAUCCAGCUGAUGUGUUUUUAUAGCUGGCUAACAUUCUGGAGUUAAGAAUUCAGCAUCCUGUAUGUGCGCACUGUAUGGAAAAGAGCAGUGCUGACAUUCUCCUAAACAUCUCCUUUCAUGUUUCACAGAAAAAAAGAACGUUUUGAUUUUUGUCUGAAAUCCCCCCACCCCCCUUUUUGUCCUGUCUGUUUGCUAUCUGUCUGCUGUUCUCACAGAGCCCUUCUGUACGAUAUGUUAGGACAGAUAUAGAAAUGUAAGACCCCACCUCAGACAGAAUGACAUAAGCUCAGACCCUCCUCUUCUGCCGGCCAGGGGAAUUCCUGGUAGAGUGAUUUUUUAAGCCUAAUGACUGAAUCACAUUGCCAGGGAUUUCCAAUGGCUCGUGUGAGGGACUCGACUCGGAGACUGCACACACGCCAGAUAUAUGCACUGCGAACACACACCUGAACACAUGAGACCCUAAACCUGAAGGAAUGCAGACCGUCUCGCACAUUUGUUAGUGGUGACAGAAGUCCCAAUUGACGCUCAUUUCUUUGCUGGUUGUGUGGUGUCAGGACUUAACCCACUUGUGAACACUGCAUUGAACUUCUUUGUUCACAGUGGUUAAGUUCUGCCAUCCUUAGACCAAAAUCAGCAAAAGGGACGUUAAAGCCAAUUGUGACAUCAAACUAAAUAAGUAUUGUGACAUGAUAUUCUCAUUGCAUAUAUAAUGUACCUGAAAAACUGCAUUAAAGAUGCACUCUUCUUAUUGUCGUCAGUCUCGCGCUGUUGUGACAGGCCUGUUUUUAUCUUGUCAGAAGUAAUCUUCAUCUCAGGUGUUUGACAUGAUAUGCAACAAAUGAGUCGUAGCCUGGAAAUAAAAAUACUUGGAUAAACAUC